rnacentral:rRNA from 1 species
GUCNNNGGCAGCGCGGGGCAACCUGGCGGCGAGUGGCGAACGGGUGAGUAAUAUAUCGGAACGUACCCAAGAGUGGGGGAUAACGUAGCGAAAGUUACGCUAAUACCGCAUACGAUCUAAGGAUGAAAGCAGGGGACCGCAAGGCCUUGUGCUCCUGGAGCGGCCGAUAUCUGAUUAGCUAGUUGGUGGGGUAAAGGCCCACCAAGGCAUCGAUCAGUAGCUGGUCUGAGAGGACGACCAGCCACACUGGAACUGAGACACGGUCCAGACUCCUACGGGAGGCAGCAGUGGGGAAUUUUGGACAAUGGGCGCAAGCCUGAUCCAGCAAUGCCGCGUGAGUGAAGAAGGCCUUCGGGUUGUAAAGCUCUUUUGUCAGGGAAGAAACGGUGGCGGCUAAUAUCUGCCACUAAUGACGGUACCUGAAGAAUAAGCACCGGCUAACUACGUGCCAGCAGCCGCGGUAAUACGUAGGGUGCAAGCGUUAAUCGGAAUUACUGGGCGUAAAGCGUGCGCAGGCGGUUUUGUAAGUUUGUCGUGAAAUCCCCGGGCUCAACCUGGGAAUGGCGAUGAAGACUGCAAGGCUAGAGUUUGGCAGAGGGGGGUAGAAUUCCACGUGUAGCAGUGAAAUGCGUAGAUAUGUGGAGGAACACCGAUGGCGAAGGCAGCCCCCUGGGUCAAAACUGACGCUCAUGCACGAAAGCGUGGGGAGC